CCUGUUUGUAAACAAAAAGUGCAAUCUUAAAUACUCCUUAAAAUGAUAUUUUUUUCAUAAUUUGAGUACUGUUUCGUAGGGGACUUUUGUCCCUACGAAACUGCUUCUAAACACACAUAUGUUUGCAAUUUUAAAUGUUUCCUAUAGACAUUCAAGUUUGUUUACUUUAUAUACUAGGAAAAUCUUUUUUUUUUUCUGAAUUGGAGAACCAUUUUUUAUCGAUAAAGAUUAGACAGUACUUCACAUAUGAAGGUACAACUCGUGUUACGUAGUGGACAUUUUGAUGCGUUUCGUAGGUGACAAAUCCGUUUCGUACUGGACAAAAAGUUUCGUAGUUGACAUCAACCCUAUUCUAUGUUAAUAAAAACAUAAUAAAAAUU
rnacentral:lncRNA from 1 species